GCUUUAGAAUGCCCUUAGGAUCUGCCUAUUCUAUUUCUCCUGUAUUGGCAUUAUAAGCAUUAACCACCAUGCCUACAUUUUUAACAUGGGUACUAAGAAUCAAAUCUGGAUCCUUAUAGUUUCUUGGCAAGCACUAUACUACCUACUAUACAUCCACCUUCUCUUAAAAACUAAACACCAACCCUGAGCUGGUGCAGUCUCUGUAGGCGGUAUGAGUUUGGCUGGGGGCCGGGCCCUGCUGAAAACCUCUGGAAACCGGCUUUCUGGGUUACCGGAAGCAGAGGAGGAAGAUGAGUUCUACCAGACAACUUACGGGGGUUUCACCGAGGAGUCUGGAGAUGAGUACCAAGGUUUCCAGUCUGACACGGAGGAUGAGGUAGACUUUGACUUUGACAUUGAUGAAGGAGAUGAACCAUCCAGUGAUGGAGAAGCAGAAGAGCCAAGAAGGAAGCGCAGAGUCGUCACCAAAGCCUAUAAGGAGCCUCUAAAGAGCUUGAGGCCUCGCAAGGUCAGCACCCCAGCGAGCAGCUCCCAGAAGGCCAGAGAGGAGAAGGUGCUGCUGCCAUUGGAGCUGCAGACGACGGCUCUGACAGCCGCAAGUCCAUGCGUCAAUCUAUAGCAGAGCACACACUACAAACGUUCCUUCGGGUUCAAGAGAAGCAAGGACAGUCCCGAAGGUGGAAGGGUCCGCACUGUGAGCAACCACUAACCCAGGAAGAGCUGCUCAGGGAGGCCAAGAUUACUGAAGAGCUCAAUUUACGUUCAUUCAAUUUAUGUUCCAGAUUUAUGAAUGGCUGGAAGCUGACAAAAAGAAGCAGGUUCAUAAGAAGAGCAAGUGUCCUGGGCCAAUAAUCACCUACCACUCAGUGAUGGUGCCGCUUGUUGGGGAGCCUGGUCCCAAGAAGGAGAAUGUGAACAUGGAAGGCCUUGAUCCUGCUCCUA